UCAAGGUGUAAGGUAACACGGUAAGGCUUGGUCAGCAGGUCUAGGUGUGGCAGCCUGUUUCCCAACUGCAGAUCAGCUUAGGGGAAGCAGAAAUUUCUCUGCACUGAGUCAGGACCAAAAGCAGAACAUCACAGCUACCAAGUGCAGCCGAUCAGACGUGCCUAGGAAAGCGAUGAUGCCCAUCGAUUGGUGUGAACUUUCUAGAAACGUCUAGGAAACAGGAUGUUUGCGCUUGGGAUUUACCCACCAUAUUGUGAGGAAGCCUAUACUACAUGGAGAGGCCAUGUGAUGUUCCAGCCAACAGUACCGUGUCAGAUGCCAGCUGCCAGCCAGCAUCAACUCCAGACAGAUGGAACCAUGUAGUUGCAGGAAAACAAGUGCAAGGCUUCUACUGAUUCUACAUUAUGGUGUCUGUACUCCUCCCUGACCAUGUGCUUCAGGAGACGCCAAUCCCAGCCCCAUUCCUAGACCACAGUGGCGAAUCAGUUUGAUCUAAGCCAAUCAUGUUGAUGCUAUUCUAGUUAGCUGUGAUUGGCUGAGGAAGAUGUGGGUUGAUGAAGAUAAUCCCCCCACUCUCCACAGCCACUGAGAAGAUUAGGUCCUUCUUUGGAUUUGAAUGUAUUUUUCUAUUAAUAUCUAUAAAUGUUUUCAAUCUCCAUAACACUAUUAUACUUUUGUUAGCUCAUGUCAAACUUGUAUAAAACUAAUACCCCUGGAUCAAUUUUACAUGAAGGGUUAUUAAACCAGGUUAACUGUCUUCUGUAGCACUGUCUGUGAUUUUCUGAACAAAAUUCAGGGUUGAUAAUCUUUCUCCAACUUCAAAAUAUAGUACAAGAAGUGAAAUUUAUUUCUGUACACCUGUUUGGUAACUGUUGGAAUUUCAGUUCCAGAAAAACAGAAUUGUGUGGAUUGUGAGUCACUUCUGCUGGGGAUAAUUAGAAAGAGAGGAAAUUGGGAGUUGGGAGUGAAAAGGGGAGAUCAAGCAGAUGGCAGAGGAAGGAUGGAGAUUUUCACAGUGAAUCCUUGGGGAGACAAAGGAAGAUAAAGCACAGUAAACUCAUAAGGGUAUUCAGGUGACAUCUGUGAGGAGGAGUCGAGGAGCCGGGAGUCGAGAUAUGAGAGAGAGGAUUUGAUAGACAUGUGAUCUGGGGAGGGGACAGAAGCAUCUUCUGAGUCAUGCAAUCAAGAAGGCAUUGAUCAUUUG
rnacentral:lncRNA from 1 species